rnacentral:rRNA from 1 species
GACGAACGCUGGCGGCGUGCCUAAUACAUGCAAGUAGACCGCUGAAGGAGGAGCUUGCUUCUCCGGAUGAGUUGCGAACGGGUGAGUAACGCGUAGGUAACCUGCCUGGUAGCGGGGGAUAACUAUUGGAAACGAUAGCUAAUACCGCAUAAGAGUAGAUGUUGCAUGACAUUUGCUUAAAAGGUGCAAUUGCAUCACUACCAGAUGGACCUGCGUUGUAUUAGCUAGUUGGUGGGGUAACGGCUCACCAAGGCGACGAUACAUAGCCGACCUGAGAGGGUGAUCGGCCACACUGGGACUGAGACACGGCCCAGACUCCUACGGGAGGCAGCAGUAGGGAAUCUUCGGCAAUGGACGGAAGUCUGACCGAGCAACGCCGCGUGAGUGAAGAAGGUUUUCGGAUCGUAAAGCUCUGUUGUAAGAGAAGAACGAGUGUGAGAGUGGAAAGUUCACAG